UGCAUCCUCCACCAGAGAGAUGUUCCUAAAAGGCAAACGGAUUCCACUCCUGAGGCCCCCAGGAAACAGCCACCUCCAGCCAUGCCCCGCUCAGGCCUGUUAGGUGUCUUCAGUUUCCCGCCCAUAAUCAUAACUUCUUUCCUUUUUAAACUUUUUUAGAGAGGGUCUAUUGUAACCCAGCCUGGCCUUUCACUCACUGUGUAGCCAAAGAUGACCUUGACCUUCUGAUGCUCUUGUCUCUACUUCCUCGCUGCCAGGAUAACAGGCUGGGUAGACAGACCUGUCACAUGCCAGGCAAGUGCUCCAACACUGCACUACAUCUCCAUCCCAGCUGAAAGGUGAUCGCUCUUCCCCCCCCCCCCCCAUUCCUAUCAUUGUGAGGCCAUUUGCCUGGAAGUCCUCAGCAGAACUGUUGCAAACAGCACCACAUUCUUGAAGCUCCGGAACUGUGAACUAAACAAGCUUCUUUAUAAAACAACCGGCUUCGGGCGUUUUGUUACAGUAACAGGAAACAAAUACACUGUUGCAGGUACUGCCUCUGUGGAUUCUAGUCUGAGAUACAUAGUUACCAAAGAACGAUGUAACCAGCGCAGACACAAACUGAAAGAAACCUUAUAGUAGGAGCUGAAUUCGAUUUCAAUCAGAACAAGAAAACAGAAAGCUCCCAUAAUAAUGCUGUUAAGACAAAGAAAUAUAUCGUGUAAGAAACUCUUCCUCUUAGAGUCAAGAAACAUACACUUCUUCUCUCAAAAAGAAUUGGGAAAGGUGCCAAGAAACUUGAAGAAAAAACGAAGUGAACAGGCAUGAAAGCACAUACCUGGAAGUCUGGCAUUCAGGAAGCAAAGGCCGGGAAUCCUGAGUGAACUACAAAGUGAACCACACAGGAGUGUGAGGCUGCUCAGAACCAGACAACAAGAGCCUUCUAAAGCCUAACAACAUAAAACUGUACCGCAAGCUUGUAAUUCAAAUAUGAUCAUGUGGCUUUUUUUUAAACA